UGCUGCCAUUGGGUUCUUCGUUUCGCUGACCAAAAAUGAAGCCGUGGACCUUCCCGGAACAAAAAGGGUGGAAAAAUUAAGAGGUGGCCUCAGUCCUGUCCACCCUGGGCGAGGUGGUCAGAUCCUGCUGGCGACUGCAGCUGUUUCUCUCAGGAGGAUGAUGAAUACCCUACAGAUGGCAGCUGCUCCUGUUCUCAGGAGCCUGGUCAUUAGGAAGAAAAGGAUAAAAACCCCAAACCUGUUAUCUACUGAGCAAUUCUGAGCUGCUCUGGAAAUUUGAAAGGCACUGGGAAGAAAAGUGUCACCAGUUCUGCUGGGACGGGGCCAGGGUGUGGGUGGGGGAUUCGGGCAGGGCUGGCUGCUCGCUCGCCCCCUCCCUCCCUGGAGGGCCCACUCUGCACUCCUGCCCUUCUUCCAACUUUUCCUCCUUCUUAUUAUCUUCGGAUCUUCCUUCUGUUCCUCUACAGCUGAGCCUUCCUGAGGAGGUAAAGGAGUGUCCCUGGUGCUUGGGCAAAUGGAACCGGUUCAGCCCAUGCUGUCACCACGUGCAGGGCCCUCUCUCAGUGUGACUGGUGUGACAGGAGGAAGAAGGGCAGUGAGCCGUGGCCCAGCUAUUGCAGGGACAGCCAGAGCAGCUUCCUGCAGUGCAAGCCCUGCCUGACGCCCUUCUGCCUUUCUCAUCGGGUCUCAGCUCGUCCUGGCCACACCCGUCCAGGCCUUUUCUGCAGGAAAGGAACUUUUGCUCAACCAUCCAUUUUGAAAGUGGAGACUCUAUCUCCAUUCUAACGCUCCUUUUCUUUUAGACUUUUAAACACAUUUU
rnacentral:lncRNA from 1 species